AGUGAACGCUGGCGGCAUGCCUUACACAUGCGAGUCGAACGGUAGCAGAUUAAGCUCACGCUUUUCGGGCUGGUGAGUGAUGUAUCGGAGCGGACCCCAUCGGGAUGUAUAUCUUCUCGAGGGAUCACCUAAUGCCGCAUACGACCUUACUGCAAAAGCGCGACGGCGCAAGACCUCGCACCAUUGGACCUUGCGAGAUCAGAUGAGGUAGUUGGUGAGGUAAAGGCUCACCAAGCCGACGAUCUGUAGCUGGUCUGAGAGGAUGAUCAGCCACACUGGGACUGAGACACGGCCCAGACUCCUACGGGAGGCAGCAGUGGGGAAUUUUGGACAAUGGGCGCAAGCCUGAUCCAGCCAUGCCGCGUGCGGGAAGAAGGCCUUCGGGUUGUAAAGCGCUUUUGUUAGGGAAGAAAAGGUUCUGGUUAAUACCCGGCAGUUCUGACGGUACCUGAAGAAUAAGCACCGGCUAACUACGUG
rnacentral:rRNA from 1 species